rnacentral:hammerhead_ribozyme from 1 species
AUCCAAUUGACGAGUCCCAAACAGGACGAAACGCGAGUCCUGAAU